AGAGUUUGAUCAUGGCUCAGGAUGAACGCUGGCGGCGUGCCUAACACAUGCAAGUCGAACGGACUUACAUUGAAGCCUAGCGAUAUGUAAGUUAGUGGCGGACGGGUGAGUAACGCGUGGGUAACCUGCCUUGUACUGGGGGACAACAGUUGGAAACGACUGCUAAUACCGCAUAAGCGCACAGCUUCGCAUGAAGCAGUGUGAAAAACUCCGGUGGUACCCCCCAAGAUGGACCGCGUCUGAUUAGC
rnacentral:rRNA from 1 species